rnacentral:misc_RNA from 1 species
CACGUCAUCCCCACCUUCCUCCGGUUUAUCACCGGCAGUCUCCUUUGAGUUCCCACCAUUACGUGCUGGCAACAAAGGAUAAGGGUUGCGCUCGUUGCGGGACUUAACCCAACAUUUCACAACACGAGCUGACGACAGCCAUGCAGCACCUGUCUCAGAGUUCCCGAAGGCACUAAGCUAUCUCUAGCGAAUUCUCUGGAUGUCAAGAGUAGGUAAGGUUCUUCGCGUUGCAUCGAAUUAAACCACAUGCUCCACCGCUUGUGCGGGCCCCCGUCAAUUCAUUUGAGUUUUAACCUUGCGGCCGUACUCCCCAGGCGGUCGACUUAACGCGUUAGCUCCGGAAGCCACGCCUCAAGGGCACAACCUCCAAGUCGACAUCGUUUACAGCGUGGACUACCAG